rnacentral:rRNA from 1 species
GAUGAACGCUGGCGGCGUGCCUAAUACAUGCAAGUCGAGCGAACAGACGAGGAGCUUGCUCCUCUGACGUUAGCGGCGGACGGGUGAGUAACACGUGGAUAACCUACCUAUAAGACUGGGAUAACUUCGGGAAACCGGAGCUAAUACCGGAUAAUAUAUUGAACCGCAUGGUUCAAUAGUGAAAGACGGUUUUGCUGUCACUUAUAGAUGGAUCCGCGCCGCAUUAGCUAGUUGGUAAGGUAACGGCUUACCAAGGCAACGAUGCGUAGCCGACCUGAGAGGGUGAUCGGCCACACGGGAGCGGAGACACGGUCCAGACUCCUACGGGAGGCAGCAGUAGGGAAUCGGCCGCAAUGGGCGAAAGCUUGACGGAGCAACGCCGCGUGAGUGAUGAAGGUCUUCGGAGCGUAAAACUCUGUUAUUAGGGAAGAACAGAUGUGUAAGUAACUAUGCACGUCGUGACGGUACCUAAUCAGAAAGCCACGGCUAACUACGUG